UCCGGUUUCAAAACAUUUCAAACCCAUAACCACCUAGUAGAGGUACUUAUGAUCUGUUUUAUUUUUAUUAUAUACCCUCUAAUUAUUUUCUAGCAGAAAGCCUGAAAGAGGACAAUACAAUUGAAUUGAACUAAAAUUCCACAAGGAUGAGGUUUUAAAUUACAAUUUGUUCACUUGCAGCUCUUUUCCAUCUACCAUUCAGUCUAUGUAUAUGUUUUAUUGCCAUGAUACACAUUACUCGUGCAUUUCUAUGUCCAAAGUAUGGUUACUCUAACCUUGUGUUAGUGUAAUAUUUUUCUUGUAAGUAUUUAUUUUAUAAAUACAUAUUACAGUUUGGAUUUUGUUUUAAGUGGUUACCAUAGAUUGUUUUAAAUCACGAUUCAACAUAUCUCUUCAAUUACAAUUUGUUUUUUUAAUCAGUGUUUUGUUUUUAAAAGUUCUGUUAACCAUUGGUUAAGCUGACUAAUGUUUGAACAAGUGUGUCUUGGAUUUUGUGUAAUGCAACCCAUCAUUCUGUUUGAAUAGGGUAAAGGAACGUUUCCAUGUGAAGUGUCGGUUUUGGACAUCCAUAAUGAUCUCGAAUGGAACCCACAAGUAUCCACACUCAAUGUCUGGCCUCUGUACAUUUCAGAUGACGGCAAUGUCAUGUACUACAGGGACAAAACUGAGGAACUAAUGGAAUUGUCAGAUGACAAAAAGAAGGAAAUACAACAAAAAGAAAAUUUGAGUAACCGACUGAGUUACUCUCCUCGUAAAGAACGGGCUCUCAAGAUAUACACAGAUGACCCGCCUCCCUCGUCCAGUUCCAAGUCGUCACCAGAUGUUGACUGAAAGACUGGCCUGAAGACAAGCACUGGUGUCCUUCCACCCCUCGUCCACUCAUACAUCGUCUCUGGAUUUUCAUUGAGAGGGUCGUGUGUGUUUACACUGAUAACCAUAUCACUGCAUACAGACAUAGGCAAAUGAUAAACCCACAACGUGCAGAAAAACUACAUUCUUACCCAGUCUGAACAAGGUUUUUUGUCAACAUUUGUUCAGUGAACAUGUGGGUCUUAUAUCGAGGUUUUAAAUUAAGAAGAAAUUAGGUGGUAUCCAGGAAUCUUUAUUCUCCCUCCACGAUAUAUCAAGAUAUGUUAGAAGUGCUGCAGUUUUUGUUGUGUAAGAGCAUUGCUGGUACAAUGUGUUGCUGUGUGGAAUGUUUCAAUAAUAUGUUGUCACCUUCAGUAUGGUCUCCGUUAGGUACUUCAUUUUAUCUUUGAUCCAUUUCUUCAUUAUAUAAUUGACAAAAUUCUGCUUUAUAUGAUAGCAGAUAUGAAUAAUAUUUUAAAACAUUAUUAAUAAAAAUUAAAAAGAAAAUUGGUCCUGAAUUUUUGGUAUUAAAUUUGGAAACUAAGCGCUUGUAGUUUGUGUUAAUAGCAAAACAAAUGCGGACUCUUAAGUAAUACAUAAUAAAUAUUUGUAUUUAUGUGGAUUACAGCCCAGAAAUGGAUGAAAAAUACAUGGUUAUGUUUUACACAUUUAUUUUUUAAUUUAACAUUAUACCUGUUAAAAAAGAAAGAAAGAAAAAGAUGUAUUACAAAAGAAAAAAUGUACAAUGGUCACAUUUAAGUAAAAGUGAAACAAAGUAUUGUUUGAUAGUUGGAUUCCAUAUUUUGUGAUAUCAAUAUACUGUCUAGUUUUUAAUCUGUUAAUAUUUAAUCUUGUAAUGUUUUGCUAUAGUAUUAGAUUAUCAAUAAAUGUUACUGUAAACAUGGUAUAACUCUUUUGUAGUGAUUUCAUUUCAAGGGCUGACAACCAGCUGGAAGUUCAGUCAACUGCUUGUUGCUAACGUUCGCUAGACUAAUAUUUACGCUACACAGUAAACAGAAUUGCCACUUCGGGAACCAAUCAAACAGUUCGCGAACAUUACGAAAUGUUCACUGGCUGAACUUGGGGCAGGCGUCAUUUUACUAAGCAAUCUUAGCGCUAAAAUUGUCUUUAGUGCAUAAGAUAGUUAGGCACUUAUGGUGAUGUUAACACUAAGUUCACAUCAAAAACAGGGCCCAGACGUGGUAACGUCCAUUCUUUGCAAAAAUAACAUUAGUGCACGAGUACUCACUUUCAGACAAUGUAAACGGUGGACAAAUUAAUUGAAUACAUUUUGUGCAAUAAGAAUCAUUAUAUAUUAAAGGACAGGAAUGUUUGACAACAUCUUGGCAUAUUUUAUACUACGGCUCUCUGGUGUCUAACAUGGUUAUUAUGUUGCGUUCAUUUGGUGGUCGUGAACACCAAGUGAAGAGCAUUCAUGCGAAUUAUAGACAAUCUGCACUGUCAUUCCAACUGUCAUUCCAAUCUCACACACACCAGCUCAUAAUUGCAAGAAUGAUCCGUGUUUGUUCAGCCUUUUUUUUUUUCCUACCACGAGUUGUAAAUAUUGAGACAGAAAAUCCUACCCUAGUUCACAAGUUGUGUUCACAGGUUAUUUCGCAAAACAAACACUCUUCACAACUUGUAAAUUGGGAAAUGUGAUAUUCACAUUCUCUGAUGAAUGCAUCAUUAUAACCAUUGGUCUAGAUCCUGAGAGAGAAACACUACGGACUGCCGCAUAGGCUAAUCCUACCAACCAGCAGCUUGAUAGAGAAUACUACAUGACCGGCCGUUAAGAUACAAUUUAUCUUACAAGAAGUUGUUUUAAAAUGUAUCUAACGAUCUUACAUGAUCUUCAAAAAACAGUUUUAAACUAAAUUUAAACACUUUUCCAACUAAAACCUAUGUACGGUCCUAGCGCUUAAAGUUAAUUUGUGCAUCACAGACAAGUCAAUUUCAGGUUAACUUGUACGUAACAUCUAGUGGUCAGUUUCUACGUGCUUUUUCACUGGGUGUUAUGCCAUUGGUGACCUGGUCAUCACCUAGGUGCAGCACAGUCAUAUGUCUGUAAAAUGUUAUCGCACGUGUAUGUGUUAACAAGUAUGUGUUAUCAAAAAUAACGAAUAAUGUUCUCACCAGCAGGUGUGUAAGAAAGAUCAUUUAUAAACACAUUCCCAGAGCCUUGGGACACUAAAAAGGAGGCUGAUCUAUUGAACCUCGGGCUAGUGUUCCACCAGUGAGUUCCAAUACAUAGAGAGGUGGCUUGUAACUCACUGGUGGAGCAUAACCUCUAUAUAUUUGAGACAAACUUAUCCGAAAAGUCAUGCCUUGUGACUUAAUUAUCACCCACGUUUUAUUAACUUUGUGUUUUUUUAGAAAUAUGUAUUGCAUGUAAAGAGAUUAUAUUAACUUAAAUUUAAUAAUUUAUUGGAAUAAUUAACAUGAAAAGAGCACCGGAGAGCUAUCAAUAGUGGAUGCAGUCACAGAAGAUGUGUGUAAUUUUAACUUUAACAAUACUAACAAGACGAGAUGAGAAUAUCCUUGGGAACAAGGAUAUAAGAUCUUGUAAAAAAAAAUUACUGGCCUUGUGUUUGCAGUGUGGUUUUAAACUAAACUAUAUUUGUAUGUAUGUGUGUGUUGUAUGUAUGCAUAGGAAUUUUAAUCUUUUUUACAUUAAAUUUGAUAAUGGCCACUGUUAUUCAUUGUACAUGUAUUAGUUUUCUAGAAUCAUUUUUAAUGCCAAAUUGUUAGAUCCAUGUGGUGUAUCUUGUGUGUUGGUAGGGGGUUGGGAUGUUAAUGCAGUUGCCAUUAUCACAUUUGAUGGUAAGAUGUCAAAUCCCAGUGAUGAGUGUAUACAUUUACUUAGAAAUGUGUUAGUUAAACAAAUAUGAUCAACAAAUUUGUACUUCAGUUAAAAAAAUAUUUGAAACACAUCUCAUUAAACGAUGUAUGUGUCUUAACCAGUCAGAUUUUUAUGGUCACCUCAAAAGCAAGCCAUUCAUGGUUUUCGAUAAGCUUGUUUUAAGCUACAUGUAUACUUCAAAAAUAUAAAGGUUUAUAAAAUAUUACAUACAUGUAAAAAAAAAACGUUAUCUGUAAUAUGUUCUGCUUCACUGACGGUUUCAAAUAAAGUGAAAUUCUGUUAAAAUACAUACUAACUUGCAUUUCAAAGAUUCCCACCCUUACCUGCAUGACUAAAAUAGGUCAGCAUGACACAUUCCCUCCAUAAAUGAGAAAAGUAUCACGUUUUAUUGUUCAAUCAUUUAACGAGAGUUGAUAUUUAAAAUUACACCACUACAUUUGAACAGUGAGGUAGCCAAAUACAGUACAGUCAUUUGCUGUGGCUAUCAACUGUAUUUAGUGAGGUAGCCAAUAUGGUUGUCAUUUGCUGUGGCCAUUAACUGUAUUUAGUGAGGUAGCUAAUACGGUUGUCAUUUGCUGUGGCCAUUAACUGUAUUUAAUGAGGUGACUAAAUAUGAUACUGUCAUUUGCUGUGGCCAUCAACUGUAUUUAGCGAGAUCCCUAAAUACAGUACUAUCAUUUGCUGUGGCCAUUAACUGUAUUUGUCAUAUCUAUAGAUUGUUUUGUCUAUGUCUAUAUGUAUUGGAGUCGGAAGCUUUGGAAUAUAUUUGUGAAAUUAAAUUAAUUAAAUUAUUGCAGCAGUGUCUAGCAAGCUUUCAGUCAUGGUGCUAUCAAUCAUAACAUCAGUUUUAGAAGCAGAAAUUUAAAUGUUUAUUUGGGUUAUCAAUUGGUUUGGCCUGAGGAGUUCUCAGAAUGUGUAUAUGCAUUUAGUUUUUAAUAUUUGGUGCAUUUAGUUUUUACACCAAUAAAAUCAAACGAUUAUCUUUGUAAUAACUGCAAUUUGUUUAUUAUACAUAUUAUAUGUAUUGUUUUCCAGUGUUGCCCAAUCAUAGCAACUUAUUACUGAAAAUUUGAAUUGUAGAUAGAUGGUCCCAACAAAUUUCAGUACAAAGAUCUUGAAUUGUUUGGCAAGUUCACCUAUAUGAUAAGAAAUAUUGAGAAUUAUUUUAUUUGCAAUUACUGACCAAAAUAUUUUGGUGCUGGGCAGCAAUCACCUGCAAAAUGAGGUGUAAAACAUUUAUGAAAUUUAUAUUCCUCCUGCCUUUUUUUUGGGAGGGGGUGUAAAACUGUUCGUAAAGUUUCGCAUGCACUUGUAAUAAUUUCUAUUUAUAAACUUAAUUCAAAGUAACCAUAUAUGACUGGCACAGACUAGACAAUACUAUUGGUGGUGAAGGUUGGUUCUAAUAAAUAUUUGUCUGGCAGAAUGGAAUUUGCAACAAUUAACAAUUUGUACUUUUUUUCUUUAGUUUUUUUGACGUCAAAUUCAGCUUAAAUUCAAGAUUGGCUAAUACAUGAGUAGAUAAAUAAAUGAACAGCUAUAAUGGAUUUAAAUAUGCAAGACUGAAAUUGUGACUACUUACAUUUGAAAAAUCUAAAUGUUUCUUCAAAGGUUCAGUCCGUAGUCUAUUUUAUAUAGCACAUUUUCAAUCGGAGACAAAUUGUCUAAAAAUGUAGAGAUGGUGACAAAGAUUCUAACUGGUUUUUAAUAUAUUAUUUACAGAUGAAAAUGUGGAUUUUUUGUUUUCCUUAAAAAAAUUGGUUUUUGCACUACCAAAAAUGUUCCUGUUCUUUAAUAAAAAGCUUGCAUCAAUGCCCAGAGUUUCAAAACCUUACUCUUUUUUUUUCUUCACAUUUUUAUCUAUAUAUUGGAACCAAUUAUGCAUUUCACUCCCUAAUACAAAAGUGUUCCCAGCUAUGUAUAGUAAAUACCCCCCUACCCCUCCCUCAAGUUAGACAAGUGGAUUUAAAAGAUGUGCAGGAUGUGUUAUCACUUUUAUAAUUAAUAUCUUGUUACGACAGGUCUAGUGUACAAAGCAUUCCAGUGUUGUAGCUUGUUAGACAAGUCUGUUCUAUGUGAUAGAUUACUUUCUGUUUAUAUCGCUGCUUUUCACACUACAGGGUUCAUAGUGCGAACCCCGACAACCUUGGUUACAGUUCAUCUUUGUUAAAAGCUCCUCAUUGGUAUAUAUUUUUCAUACUGUAAGAUGUAAUGAGCAUGUCAGAAAGCCAUAUACUUUUUCUUUAUUCUUGUGAUCUCGGAUAUUGUGAUUUAGGGGUUUUUUGUGUGUGUUUUUUUUUAUGUUGAUUGAACAUAGGGCCUAAUUGUUGAAGCAAAAGAUAAACAAUGAAUAUUGCAAAUGUAUGUUUAUUCUAGUUGGCAAGUUUAUGUUGUUCCCAGGCAAUUAAGAAUAAACAUGUUAAAACAGUUAAAA